rnacentral:lncRNA from 1 species
AAAGAUAAAGUCAAAGGAGGGAAGACUUCACGCAUGGCAAGGGGAUCUAUGAUGAAAAUGCUAUUCAUAGCCAAAGAAGGAACUGUUGGAGUCUGAGUGAAGAUCAAAACUUGCUAUAUUCUACUUUGUUUCCUUCAUGAAGAAACUGAAGCCAAAGAGAGUGAACUGACUAGCCCAGUUUCUCAUAGCUGGGCUUUAAUCUAAGAGUAUGAAUUCUUUCCUGAC